GACGAACGCUGGCGGCGUGCUUAACACAUGCAAGUCGAACGAAGAGAGAUGGAAGCUUGCUUCUAUGGAUCUUAGUGGCGAACGGGUGAGUAACGCGUAAUCAACCUGCCCUUCAGAGGGGGACAACAGUUGGAAACGACUGCUAAUACCGCAUACGAUCCAAUCUCGGCAUCGAGAGUGGAUGAAAGGUGGCCUCUAUUUAUAAGCUAUCACUGAAGGAGGGGAUUGCGUCUGAUUAGCUAGUUGGAGGGGUAACGGCCCACCAAGGCGAUGAUCAGUAGCCGGUCUGAGAGGAUGAACGGCCACAUUGGGACUGAGACACGGCCCAGACUCCUACGGGAGGCAGCAGUGGGGAAUCUUCCGCAAUGGACGAAAGUCUGACGGAGCAACGCCGCGUGAGUGAUGACGGCCUUCGGGUUGUAAAGCUCUGUUAAUCGGGACGAAUGGUUCUUGUGCGAAUAGUGCGAGGAUUUGACG
rnacentral:rRNA from 1 species